UUCUCCAUGGGCGUGUUGCCAAUAGUGCGCUGAAAGUAGAUGGACUCGAUCUUGUGGGAGCUGAUCAUCCGCAGCAGUGGCAGCAUGAGCAGGAGUCGUCCGAAUCUGGCAAUCUGGGCCGUGAACUGCGUCUUCCAUACUUACGUGCGCCUGAUCCUGGAGAUUCUCAAUCUGCGCUGGAUCCUUCAGACCACGUGUCUCUGGCCGAAACAAAACAAUUGCCUUGAGGCAGGCAAAUUCAGCAGGAUCAACUAGCACCGCUUUGUAUUUGCAGAAGAUCUCGUGAAGGGUUCGCACAUCCGCCGCCAGCUGCCAAAAAUGUAGUGUCGCCAUUGGCGUUGUUCUCCAGAUUGUUACAGUGCUCCGCCACCGAGAAGAGGGCACAGCCCGUGGGAUCCAAGGGGAUGCACCAUUGGAUGGCAUUCAGCAGGAACAGCUCGGACCAGGACUCCUCCAGCAAAAUCACCUGAUUAGGAAAGCGUGUUUUAUGAAUAUUCCUAAUAUCCGAACUAACAACAUUUAAAAUUAAUUUUUCCUUCUGCAACAUACUAUAUGCCGAAUGUAAAUAUAACUCAACACCAAACCUCUUAAAAUGCCCACCUGAUCCCGAAAGGAAAGUCGCGCAAAGCUGGGCAGGUUCUUGGCCCACUUGACGGCCAUGAAGAGAAGCCGGGCACUCGUCUCAUAAACGGUUUCGUGCUGAUGGGCAUACAAAUUGGGUGACAUGAACUGCG